rnacentral:misc_RNA from 1 species
AAACCAAAUCCUUUCUUUUUUUUUUCCUUUUGAUUUCUUGUGGUGCUUUUGGCUCGAAGAUCUCGCUGGUUUUCUUUCUUUUUUUUUUUUUUGGAACUGAAUCAUUUCGUUUCUAAAUAAAGCAAAAGUUCUUUUGUUGUUUCUGUGAUGAGUUCAUGUUAUGGGGUCUCUAAUCUGGGUACAGCAUCUUAUGAUAGAUCUUGAUUUGGAAUUGAGAUCAAUCUUGUAAUCGUAGUACAAGAUUAUGUAGUAUCUUAUAUAUUACACAGAUUAUGUAGUAUCUUAUCAUCGGAA